rnacentral:rRNA from 1 species
CAGUAGCCGCGGGAAUACGUAGGUGGCAAGCGUUGUCCGGAAUUAUUGGGCGUAAAGGGCUCGCAGGCGGUUUCUUAAGUCUAAUGUGAAAGCCCCCGGCUCAACCGGGGAGGGUCAUUGGAAACUGGGAAACUUGAGUGCAGAAGAGGAGAGUGGAAUUCCACGUGUAGCGGUGAAAUGCGUAGAGAUGUGGAGGAGCACCAGUGGCGAAGGCGACUCUCUGGUCUGUAACUGACGCUGAGGAGCGAAAGCGUGGGGAGCGAACAGGAUUAGAUACCCCUGUAGUCCCUGUCUCUUAUAC